rnacentral:rRNA from 1 species
UGGGGAAUAUUGCACAAUGGGCGCAAGCCUGAUGCAGCAACGCCGCGUGAACGAUGAAGGUCUUCGGAUCGUAAAGUUCUGUUGCAGGGGAAGAUAAUGACGGUACCCUGUGAGGAAGCCCCGGCUAACUACGUGCCAGCAGCCGCGGUAAUACGUAAGGGGCUAGCGUUAUCCGGAUUUACUGGGCGUAAAGGGUGCGUAGGUGGUCUUUCAAGUCGGUGGUUAAAGGCUACGGCUCAACCGUAGUUAGCCUCCGAAACUGGAAGACUUGAGUGCAGGAGAGGAAAGUGGAAUUCCCAGUGUAGCGGUGAAAUGCGUAGAUAUUGGGAGGAACACCAGUAGCGAAGGCGGCUUUCUGGACUGCAACUGACACUGAGGCACGAAAGCGUGGGUAGCAAACAGG